AAUGAACGCUGGCGGCGUGCUUUACACGUGCAAGUCGAGCGAGGCGUGUAGCAAUACACAGUCGAGCGGCGAACGGGUGAGUAACGCGUGGAUGACCUGCCCUUAGGUGGGGGAUAACCCGGGGAAACUCGGGCUAAUACCGCAUAACAUCGUGAGAUCAAAGGGGGCGCAAGCUCUCGCCAGAGGAGGGGUCCGCGUCCGAUUAGCUAGUUGGUAGGGUAAUGGCCUACCAAGGCGACGAUCGGUAGCCGGCCUGAGAGGGUGAUCGGCCACACUGGAACUGAGACACGGUCCAGACUCCUACGGGAGGCAGCAGUGGGGAAUUUUGCGCAAUGGGCUAACGCCUGACGCAGCAACGCCGCGUGGAGGAUGAAGGUCUUUGGAUUGUAAACUCCU
rnacentral:rRNA from 1 species